CCUAACACAUGCAAGUCGAACGGUAACAGGAAGAAGCUUGCUUCUCUGCUGACGAGUGGCGGACGGGUGAGUAAUGUCUGGGAAACUGCCUGAUGGAGGGGGAUAACUACUGGAAACGGUAGCUAAUACCGCAUAACGUCGCAAGACCAAAGAGGGGGACCUUCGGGCCUCUUGCCAUCGGAUGUGCCCAGAUGGGAUUAGCUAGUAGGUGGGGUAACGGCUCACCUAGGCGACGAUCCCUAGCUGGUCUGAGAGGAUGACCAGCCACACUGGAACUGAGACACGGUCCAGACUCCUACGGGAGGCAGCAGUGGGGAAUAUUGCACAAUGGGCGCAAGCCUGAUGCAGCCAUGCCGCGUGUAUGAAGAAGGCCUUCGGGUUGUAAAGACUUUCAGCGGGGAGGAAGGGAGUAAAGUUAAUACCUUUGCUCAUUGACGUUACCCGCAGAAGAAGCACCGGCUAACUCCGUGCCAGCAGCCGCGGUAAUACGGAGGGUGCAAGCGUUAAUCGGAAUUACUGGGCGUAAAGCGCACGCAGGCGGUUUGUUAAGUCAGAUGUGAAAUCCCCGGGCUCAACCUGGGAACUGCAUCUGAUACUGGCAAGCUUG
rnacentral:rRNA from 1 species